GAUGAACGCUGGCGGCGUGCCUAAUACAUGCAAGUCGAGCGAACAGACGAGGAGCUUGCUCCUCUGACGUUAGCGGCGGACGGGUGAGUAACACGUGGAUAACCUACCUAUAAGACUGGGAUAACUUCGGGAAACCGGAGCUAAUACCGGAUAAUAUAUUGAACCGCGUGGUUCAAUAGUGAAAGACGGUUUUGCUGUCACUUAUAGAUGGAUCCGCGCCGCAUUAGCUAGUUGGUAAGGUAACGGCUUACCAAGGCGACGAUGCGUAGCCGACCUGAGAGGGUGAUCGGCCACACUGGAGCUGAGACACGGUCCAGACUCCUACGGGAGGCAGCAGUAGGGAAUCUUCCGCAAUGGGCGAAAGCCUGACGGAGCAACGCCGCGUGAGUGAUGAAGGUCUUCGGAUCGUAAAACUCUGUUAUUAGGGAAGAACAAAUGUGUAAGUAACUAUGCACGUCUUGACGGUACCUAAUCAGAAAGCCACGGCUAACUACGUG
rnacentral:rRNA from 1 species